rnacentral:rRNA from 1 species
GGUAAUGGCUCACCAAGGCUGAGAUCAGUAGCUGGUCUGAGAGGAUGAUCAGCCACACUGGAACUGAAACACGGUCCAGACUCCUACGGGAGGCAGCAGUGGGGAAUCUUGCGCAAUGGACGAAAGUCUGACGCAGCCACGCCGCGCGAGUGAAGAAGGCCUUCGGGUUGUAAAGCUCUGUCGGAAGGGACAAAAACCCUUUAGGUUAAUAGCCUAGAGGCUUGAUGGUACCUUCAAAGGAAGCACCGGCUAACUUCGUGCCAGCAGCCGCGGUAAUACGAAGGGUGCAAGCGUUGCUCGGAAUUAUUGGGCGUAAAGGGAAGGUAGGUGGUUACGUAUGUCUGAGGUGAAAGCCCCAAGCUUAACUUGGGAGGUGCCUUGGAAACGGCGUAACUAGAGUACUGGAGAGGUUUGUAGAAUUCCCGGUGUAGCGGUGAAAUGCGUAGAGAUCGGGAGGAAUACCAGAGGCGAAGGCGGCAAACUGGACAGUUACUGACACUAAACUUCGAAAGCGUGGGGAGCAAACAGGAUUAGAUACCCUGCUAGUCCACGCUGUAAACGAUGGGUACUAGGAUUCGCGGGAGUUGACCCCUGCGGAUCCGGAGCUAACGCGAUAAGUACCCCGC